UGGCCUUGACAUACUAAGAACUUUCCAGAGAUGGAUUGGUGCCUUCGGGAACUUUAGAUACAGGUGCUGCAUGGCUGUCGUCAGCUCGUGUCGUGAGAUGUUGGGUUAAGUCCCGCAACGAGCGCAACCCUUUUCCUUAUUUGCCAGCGGGUUAAGCCGGGAACUUUAAGGAUACUGCCAGUGACAAACUGGAGGAAGGCGGGGACGACGUCAAGUCAUCAUGGCCCUUACGGCCAGGGCUACACACGUGCUACAAUGGUCGGUACAAAGGGUUGCUACCUCGCGAGAGGAUGCUAAUCUCAAAAAGCCGAUCGUAGUCCGGAUCGCAGUCUGCAACUCGACUGCGUGAAGUCGGAAUCGCUAGUAAUCGCGGAUCAGAAUGCCGCGGUGAAUACGUUCCCGGGCCUUGUACACACCGCCCGUCACACCAUGGGAGUUUGUUGCACCAGAAGUAGGUAGUCUAACCGCAAGGAGGACGCUUACCACGGUGUGGCCGAUGACUGGGGUGAAGUCGUAACAAGGUAAGCGUAGAUGA
rnacentral:rRNA from 1 species